AGCUAGGUGAGUGUAGUUUCUUUUUGUGGUAGUCUUUGAUGAAUUAUUUGCACUAGAUCAUAAAUGAUGUGCAUGUUACAUAUUGGAACCGAGGAAAGAGUGGAGACAUACUACCUCCAAUGCAAUCAUCUUGUUACCAAGUCGAAACUCGUACUGCUUGCUGCAUGACAGGCCAAUAAAUCGGGAGAUUGAGGUGUUGGAGCAAGGAAUAGUGACUUUAUUUGAAAAGCUGGCAGACCCAGAAGAUGGCAGAAUGACAUGCUAGAGAACCGUCUCCCCCAAGUCAGAAAUCAGUCCGCUUUUAUACUAAAAAGGGGCGGGGAUGUGGUUGGUUGUUGCAAACUUCUUGCGGUACGAAUUGUUUCUCCUUGGAAUUCUUUGUUCUUGCAGCUGUCCACGUGGGUCAAAUCAUGGUGCCCCUCUAAAACCUCCAAAAAAAAACAAAGUUGAUUCUCUAUUUUGCAACUUGCCAUCUCUACAUAAGUGCAGAAGAGUUAACAUCGUGAAAGAUCAGAGCCCGGAGAACAGGCUCUCCUGGAUAUUUCAGGCUAAAGGCAACUUUCUUUUACAAAAGGAUCUGAGGAGCAGGAGCAAGGAACGCAGGGAGAGAUCCAGGAAGACAUCUGACUGUUUUAAGAGAUGACAGUCACAGCCACACAGGGAGCGAGGACACUUGCAGCAAAGUAAAACGACUUCACAACUAUUGCAUCAGAGCUGCCGGUGUGAGAGAGCCUAAGCCUGUCUCAGAGUGCAGGGGACAAGCGGAAAGGAAUGUGUAAGAAUGCUGGUGACUGAGUUAGAAGCAUGCUUCAAAGCUGUCCGUGUCCUUGCCAUCCAGAAGCGGAGCCUGGGAGCUUCCGAAUUUCUCCAGAAUGCGGUUUACAUUCAUCUUCGACAGCAUUCCUAGGAGAGAAUUCAGCAGUGCAGCAUCCUCUCCGAGCUCUAUGAUUUGAUCGGCUUUCACCGCAAGUCCGCCUUCUUCAAGCGGGUGGCCCCCGUGCAGCGCGCGGCCCCCGGCAUCCCGGAGCCUGGCGGGAAGGCCUGCUACCGACUCCUUCUUCAGACGCUUCCUGGCUACAGUCUGUCGCUGGAUCUGCAGGACUUCAGCAAAGGUGUUGGAACUAAAACAUUGCUUCAGUCCCAUUAACCAUGCCUGGUUUGGGCCCUGCUGUCCUGUCUCAUCAGGGUGAAUUCUGAUUCGUUUAGAACAGGGCUUAGCAGACUUUUUCUGUCAAGGGCUUGGGAGUAAGUAUUUCAGGGUCUGCAAACCUCCUGAUCUCUGUUGCAG